GCAUCUGAAUCUUUCAUGCUCCUUGCUGUGCAGUGCAGGCCUGGGGACAAAUGGUGCUACAGAAAUGCAGAGCAAAUCCAGGCAAGUUCAUAUUUUCUUAUAAAGAAACUUGUCUCUACAGCUUUGCAACAUUU